AUUGAACGCUGGCGGCAUGCUUUACACAUGCAAGUCGGACGGCAGCACAGAGAAGCUUGCUUCUUGGGUGGCGAGUGGCGAACGGGUGAGUAACAUAUCGGAACGUACCGAGCAGUGGGGGAUAACUAAUCGAAAGAUUAGCUAAUACCGCAUAUUUUCUGAGGAAGAAAGCAGGUGACCUUUGGGCCUUGCGCUGUUUGAGCGGCCGAUAUCUGAUUAGCUAGUUGGUGGGGUAAAGGCCUACCAAGGCGACGAUCAGUAGCGGGUCUGAGAGGAUGAUCCGCCACACUGGGACUGAGACACGGCCCAGACUCCUACGGGAGGCAGCAGUGGGGAAUUUUGGACAAUGGGCGCAAGCCUGAUCCAGCCAUGCCGCGUGUCUGAAGAAGGCCUUCGGGUUGUAAAGGACUUUUGUCAGGGAAGAAAAGGGCGGGGUUAAUACCCCUGUCUGAUGACGGUACCUGAAGAAUAAGCACCGGCUAACUACGUG
rnacentral:rRNA from 1 species